rnacentral:rRNA from 1 species
GACGAACGCUGGCGGCGUGCUUAACACAUGCAAGUCGAACGGAAAGACCCUGCUUUUGUGGGGUGCUCGAGUGGCGAACGGGUGAGUAACACGUGAGUAACCUGCCCUUGACUUUGGGAUAACUUCAGGAAACUGGGGCUAAUACCGGAUAGGAGCUCCUGCUGCAUGGUGGGGGUUGGAAAGUUUCGGCGGUUGGGGAUGGACUCGCGGCUUAUCAGCUUGUUGGUGGGGUAGUGGCUUACCAAGGCUUUGACGGGUAGCCGGCCUGAGAGGGUGACCGGCCACAUUGGGACUGAGAUACGGCCCAGACUCCUACGGGAGGCAGCAGUGGGGAAUAUUGCACAAUGGGCGGAAGCCUGAUGCAGCAACGCCGCGUGCGGGAUGACGGCCUUCGGGUUGUAAACCGCUUUCGCCUGUGACGAAGCGUGAGUGACGGUAAUGGGUAAAGAAGCACCGGCUAACUACG